UACGUAGGGUGCAAGCGUUGUCCGGAAUUAUUGGGCGUAAAGAGCUCGUAGGCGGUCUGUCGCGUCUGCUGUGAAAACUCAGGGCUUAACCCUGAGCUUGCAGUGGGUACGGGCAGACUAGAGUGCGGUAGGGGAGACUGGAAUUCCUGGUGUAGCGGUGAAAUGCGCAGAUAUCAGGAGGAACACCGGUGACGAAGGCGGGUCUCUGGGCCGUAACUGACGCUGAGGAGCGAAGGCAUGGGGAGCGAACAGG
rnacentral:rRNA from 1 species